rnacentral:piRNA from 1 species
UGAAAGGUUUCCAGCCAGUAGUACCCCCCCA